rnacentral:rRNA from 1 species
UACGGAGGGUGCAAGCGUUAUCCGGAUUCACUGGGUUUAAAGGGAGCGCAGGCGGAUUUGUAAGUCAGUGGUGAAAGGCUUAAGCUUAACUUGGGACUGCCAUUGAUACUAUAAGUCUUGAAUGUUGUUGAGGUUUGCGGAAUGGGUCAUGUAGCGGUGAAAUGCAUAGAUAUGACCCGGAACACCUAUUGCGAAGGCAGCAGGCUAAAACAAAUAUUUGACGCUGAGGCUCGAAAAGCGUGGGGGGAUCAAAACAGGGAUUUAG